rnacentral:rRNA from 1 species
GGAGUUAGCCGGUGCUUCUUCUGUGAGUGAUGUCCUUCCUGCCGGCUAUUAACCCGCAGGCCUUCUUCCUCACUGAAAGUGCUUUACAACCCGAAGGCAUUCUUCACACACGCGGCAUGGCUGGAUCAGGGUUGCCCCCAUUGUCCAAUAUUCCCCACUGCUGCCUCCCGUAGGAGUCUGGGCCGUGUCUCAGUCCCAGUGUGGCUGAUCAUCCUCUCAGACCAGCUACGGAUCGUCGCCUUGGUGAGCCGUUACCUCACCAACCAGCUAAUCCGACAUAGGCUCAUCCGAUAGCGCGAGGCCCGAAGGUCCCCCGCUUUCCCCCGUAGGGCGUAUGCGGUAUUAGCCUGGGUUUCCCCAGGUUAUCCCCCACUACCGGGCAGAUUCCUAUGCAUUACUCACCCGUCCGCCGCUCGCCACCAGGGAGCAAGCUCCCCGUGCUGCCGCUCGACUUGCAUGUGUUAGGCCUGCCGCCAGCGUUCAAUCUGAGCCAUAAUCAAACUCUGA